rnacentral:rRNA from 1 species
UACGGGGGGGGCAAGCGUUGUUCGGAAUUACUGGGCGUAAAGGGCUCGUAGGCGGCCAACUAAGUCAGACGUGAAAUCCCUCGGCUUAACUGGGGAACUGCGUCUGAUACUGGAUGGCUUGGAUUCGGGAGAGGAAUGCGGAAUUCCAGGUGUAGCGGUGAAAUGCGUAGAUAUCUGGAGGAACACCGGUGGCGAAGGCGGCAUUCUGGACCGAUAUUGACGCUGAGGCGCGAAAGCUAGGGGAGCAAACGGG